GCCCGCGUGGUGAAAUGGUAGACACAGAGGACUUAAAAUCCUUCGGCUUCGGCCAUGCCGGUUCGAGUCCGGCCGCGGGCACCA
rnacentral:tRNA from 1 species